rnacentral:rRNA from 1 species
ACACGACUACAUUAGAUACCCUGUAGUCCUAGCCGUAAACGAUACUCGCUAGGUGUCGGCCACGGUGCGACCGUUGUCGGUGCCGUAGGGAAGCCGUGAAGCGAGCCACCUGGGAAGUACGGCCGCAAGGCUGAAACUUAAAGGAAUUGGCGGGGGAGCACCACAACGGGUGGAGCUUGCGGUUUAAUUGGAUUCAACGCCGGAAAUCUUACCGGGACCGACAGCAACAUGAAGGCCAGGCUGAAGACUUCGCCGGAUUAGCUG